GCUGUUCAGUGGCGCAGCUAACGCAUUAAGCGUCCCGCCUGGGGAGUACGGCCGCAAGGCUGAAACUCAAAGGAAUUGACGGGGGCCCGCACAAGCGGUGGAGCAUGUGGUUUAAUUCGACGCAACGCGCAGAACCUUACCAAGGCUUGACAUCCCGUGCUACGCCCAGAAAUGGGCGGUCCCCGCAAGGGGCGCGGAGACAGGUGCUGCAUGGCUGUCGUCAGCUCGUGUCGUGAGAUGUUGGGUUAAGUCCCGCAACGAGCGCAACCCUCGCCUUUAGUUGCCAUCAUUCAGUUGGGCACUCUAGAGGGACCGCCGGCGACAAGCCGGAGGAAGGUGGGGAUGACGUCAAGUCCUCAUGGCCCUUACGCCUUGGGCUACACACGUGCUACAAUGGCGGUGACAGUGGGCAGCCAACUCGCGAGAGUGAGCUAAUCCCAAAAAGCCGCCCCAGUUCAGAUUGUACUCUGCAACUCGAGUACAUGAAGGUGGAAUCGCUAGUAAUCGCAGAACAGCAGGCUGCGGUGAAUACGUUCCCGGGCCUUGUACACACCGCCCGUCACACCAUGGGAGUUGGCUCUACCCGAAGACGGUGCGCUAACCCGCAAGGGAGGCAGCCGGCCACGGUCGGGUCAGCGACUGGGGUGAAGUCGUAACAAGGUAGCCG
rnacentral:rRNA from 1 species